rnacentral:hammerhead_ribozyme from 1 species
AUCAACUCUGAGAUGAGUCCCAAAUAGGACGAAACGCGCGUCCUGGAU